GGCAUGUGCAGGCAGUGUGCAGUACAUAUGAGUAUAUGCAGAGUGCAAGUAUGGGAGACUAUGAUCUAGGGAGACUAUGAUGUAGGGGGGCUAUAAUCCAACGGGGGUCAUUUUUUGUGCAGCUUUGUGCAGCUUUCUCUCAGCAUCAGUUUGAGAGGAGGCUGCAAACAAAUGAAAAAAAGAAAAGCAUGUAGCAUUUAAGGACUAAUAAUUACAGCAUUGUA